GACGAACGCUGGCGGCGUGCUUAACACAUGCAAGUCGAACGGAAAGGCCCUGCUUUUGUGGGGUGCUCGAGUGGCGAACGGGUGAGUAACACGUGAGUAACCUGCCCUUGACUUUGGGAUAACUUUAGGAAACUGGGGCUAAUACCGGAGAGGAGCUCCUGCUGCAUGUGGGGGGUUGGAAAAAUUCGGCGGUGGGGGAUGGACUCGCGGCUUAUCAGCUUGUUGGUGGGGUAGUGGCUUACCAAGGCUUUGACGGGUAGCCGGCCUGAGAGGGUGACCGGCCACAUUGGGACUGAGAUACGGACCAGACUCCUACGGGAGGCAGCAGUGGGGAAUAUUGCACAAUGGGCGGAAGCCUGAUGCAGCAACGCCGCGUGCGGGAUGCCGGCUUUCGGGUUGUAAACCGAUUUCGCCUGUGACGAAGCGUGAGUGACGGUAAUGGGUAAAGAAGCCCCGGCUAACUACGUG
rnacentral:rRNA from 1 species